AAAAAUAGUAGCAGGAAAAACAAACGAGACUGAAGGAGCGAAUGUGUGGCAUAAGUGGCGUGAGAGUCCACUAACAGACCCCAACCUGUUUGCCGAUAAAUUGCCCACCAGUGAAGUGUCAUCUUGUGUACUGUCCUGGAUUUUGGAUGAAGUGAGACCACAGAAGAAAACUGCCCGAACCGAACAGCUCAUGACAACUAGAACCUACAAGAGGACUUCUCAGCCUCCCCUUCAAUCAAACCUGUGUGUGUGUGGGUGUGUGUGGGUGUCCCCUCAUGGUUGUGUUUUAUAGACUUACAAUCGUGUUAAUGUGAUCAAAUUAAAGGCCACAACUAGGUUUGGAUUCAUGUGUGAUGGUGUUGAAGGGGAAGCUGACUGUAGCUAAAUAUCAGUGUUUAGUAAAUUAAUGAACAAUAUGGUAUAGCAGGCGCGGGUGCUUCAUACAUGUUUCUUAUCUAAACCUCGACAUGUAGAGAAGACUUUACCUGUUGGUCUUGACAAAACGCUGCAGACACUAACAUAGUACGAAACAACAGGUACAAAAACUUUUUACUUGAGGUAUUUAGAGAAACUAGGAAAGCCAUCAUGAUUCUAAAAUGUAAGAACAAAGGUUUGGUGAACUAAAUGAUUUUUUGUGUGUGUAUGAGAAAAACAAUUCUUAGGUUUGCAUAUUAGUUCUUGUGAAUUCUGGUGACCCCUUAUUAGUCAGACUGUAUGGCUGCAUGUAUGUGUAAAUGAUCUCUAGUCAUAGCUUGGUGUCAUGUCCCUACAACUAGUCAGUGAUUGCUUGUCUUCGUGUGUUCAUGUAUGGAUCACCUCUUUAAAAAAAAAAAUCCCCAACACUGUCACAUGGAAGGUCUAGUUUUCUGUCAUGUGAACUGAAAAUAAACCUUGUUAAAUUUUGCAGAAAAUUAAAAUGUGACCCCUCA